rfam:Anaerolineaceae bacterium 4572_78 ex4572_78_scaffold_1099, whole genome shotgun sequence.
CCCCCCACUAGAAGUGGGGGGCUUGCAGGAGCAAAGUGCUACGUUACCGUAGAAAGCUACAACAGGUACGGCAGGGUGCUUCUCCAGCCUUGCCCGCUACGGUCAGUGAUUAAACAGGUUUAAAGGGGUUAAGCCCAGUGUUGCUGACAUUCAAACCUACGGAUAACAUUGUCGAGGAGACAUUUAC